UGGGGAAUUUUCCGCAAUGGGCGAAAGCCUGACGGAGCAACGCCGCGUGAGGGAUGAAGGCCUCUGGGCUGUAAACCUCUUUUCUCAAGGAAGAAGACAUGACGGUACUUGAGGAAUAAGCCACGGCUAAUUCCGUGCCAGCAGCCGCGGUAAUACGGGAGUGGCAAGCGUUAUCCGGAAUUAUUGGGCGUAAAGCGUCCGCAGGCGGCCCUGUAAGUCUGUCGUUAAAGCGUGGAGCUUAACUCCAUUUCAGCGAUGGAAACUACAGGGCUUGAGUGUGGUAGGGGCAGAGGGAAUUCCCGGUGUAGCGGUGAAAUGCGUAGAUAUCGGGAAGAACACCAGUGGCGAAGGCGCUUUGCCGGGCCAUAACUGACGCUCAUGGACGAAAGCCAGGGGAGCGAAAGGGAUUAGAUACCCCUGUAGUC
rnacentral:rRNA from 1 species